rnacentral:rRNA from 1 species
CCGGCGACCGGCGCACGGGUGAGUAACGCGUAUGCAACCUGCCCGUUUCAGCGGGAUAACCCGGAGAAAUCCGGCCUAAUACCGCAUGUGGCCGAGGGGAGGCAUCUUCUUUCGGCCAAAGGAGGCGACUCCGGAGACGGAUGGGCAUGCGUGACAUUAGCUAGUUGGCGGGGUAACGGCCCACCAAGGCGACGAUGUCUAGGGGUUCUGAGAGGAAGGUCCCCCACAUUGGAACUGAGACACGGUCCAAACUCCUACGGGAGGCAGCAG